rnacentral:rRNA from 1 species
UACGUAGGGUGCGAGCGUUGUCCGGAAUUAUUGGGCGUAAAGGGCUCGUAGGCGGUUUGUCACGUCGGGAGUGAAAACUCGGGGCUUAACCCCGAGCCUGCUUCCGAUACGGGCUGACUAGAGGUAUGCAGGGGAGAACGGAAUUCCUGGUGUAGCGGUGAAAUGCGCAGAUAUCAGGAGGAACACCGGUGUCGAAGGCGCACAUCUGGCCCGAUACGGACGCUGAGGCGCGAAAGCUAGGGGAGCAAACGGG